GUGUGUGUGUGUGUGUAAGGGAGCGGUGAUGAGACCAACCAGACACUUUGUCUCAAGAGCCUGAGCCCAUCAUAUGAGAGAGUUAGUCAGAGGGAUAGAAAUCAGAAGACACACAGAGAUCGAGAAGCAGGAAGUCAGCCGCCAUUUUUCCUGGGAUCAAGUUAACCUCACGGAGAAGGACAGGCCUUCCAGGCUGCUUAUGCUGUUCAGUGCCCCACCAGGACAAAGGGAUCCUCAUGGCCCCCACCGCCAUGUCAGCGUCAAGUAGAUCUUCAAAUGACAGCACCUCCUGUUUUCAGCUUGGAGCUCUGGACAUGUGUCAGAUCUUUAUGAAAGACCCCUUUAAUGAGCUCCAUGGCUUUGACAGAGCGGAAAUGAGAAAACACCAUUUGUGCUGUGACAUGGAAGGCUCUCUGUGGCCCUGGCCAGCUGCACAGUGGAGCACGGCUGUGGCCUCUGGAUCUGCUCAGCGCUGACUCUGGAAUUCCCAAAAUGUCAUAACAGUGUGCUUUCAAGAUGAUAUGCUCAGGCCCUGCACCCCCACGUGUGCAACAUUGCCAGCGUGCUUUAUCUGCUGCCAUGGAUUGUGCACAUGACGAAUCCAUUUCCCCCAACAAACCAUCCCGUAUGUCCACACUGUCUAUACAUUUUGCAUUCUGACAGCUCUGCAAUUAUCCACUGACGUCUGGAUUGGCCCGGGUUGAAUGUAACCGGGCGGCCAUGCUCUUAAAGAGUAAAGGAGAUGCCACUCUUUU